rnacentral:lncRNA from 10 species
ACUCCAGCCUGGGCAACGGAGCGAGACUCUGUCUCAAAAAAAAAAAAAAAAAAAAGAUAUCCUACAAGUUCUCACAUUCAUGCCUGUAUUCAUAAUAUGUCUGACAUGUUUCCCUAGCCACUCAUUAAAUUUGCUGUAUCUCUAACUUAAAGUUGUAAUUUCUUGCUGAAGACCUCUCCAAAUCAAAAUGUCUAUAAUAAAUAACAAUGUAACUAAAAGAAACAAACCAAUCCCCUUCACCCAGAUAGAAAACGAGUAAGAGAAUGGCCUUAGCUAAGUAUUUCGUAGAGACCUUACAAAGCAAAACUUAAAUAUGGCCUUUGGUUAACUAAUGGCCUUUCAAAGGCUAUGACUGACUUAAUACAAGGUCUUUUUGUUAUGCCUUACAGACCAAUUGCACUCUGCUGGUGAGACGCUGACUUCAUAGUAAGGCAGCUGGAAAACAUCUCUUUAACAUGGAUUCAUGGCAGGAUUUUUCCAAUUCAAAUAAUGUACCAUGUCCUUUAAAAGAAAAACAAUACUCUUGGACCUCUACUGUUGACCUAGUUUUUUUUGUUUUACUAAAUAUAUACUUAAUAUAUAAAAGGUAUACUUAAUGCAUAAAAAGGCAUGAACUCUGUAGGUGCUAUUAAUACCCUUGUUUAUUGGCUAUUCUCCCAUCCUAAUUCUUCCUAAUCACAGUUUAAUUUCCUUUUGGUGAAUUACCUCUCCCCAGUUGGGCACAGCCAAAGUAACCCAUACAGAAGCCAAGGGGUAUCAGGACAUUGUUAUAUCUUUCCUCUCAGUGACCUGUACAGUCAAAGGUUGGAUACAUGACCUAAUCUUGGCCAGUUGGACUGUCUCCAAGGAGAUUCUUGAGUGGAGAAAACGCUUCACUUAUCUGGCAGCAUAUGUUGGCCAAAUGGUACCUGUUGCUGUGGUUCUUUGUCUCAGUUCUUUGUCUUGAACCUGAACCCGGUUCUCCUGCCCUCCUAUUGUACUCUGAACUAUCUAAAAUCCUACUAAUAAGUUAGUCAGGCUGGGCGCAGAGGCUCAAGCCUAUAAUCCCAGCACUUUGGGAGGCUGAGGCAGGCAGAUCACCUGAGGU